UUCGUCUCUAAUCUUUUUCCUUUAUUUUCAUCUGGCAUUCGUACGUUCCGACGUUAGCCGGUUCGGUAGGUCGUUACGUAACUUCGAGGGGUGAGGGUAGAUUUGAGGUGCUUUUUCGUGUUGCAGUUAACGGGGGUUAUUUCGACUCCUACUCCACAUCGUCUCUGGUGGAUAAUCCAAUGCUGCCGAGCGCCGCGCCAGAUUGCAAAGCCGAUCGCUGUCACAACAAAAGUCCCUACCACGCUGCCGUAUAGUUUCGAGCCUGAUAAUUGUGGAACGCCGAAUCUGACGUAACUCAAGACCAUCUUCCAAGAUCGUCGACUUUAUCUGAACACCUACGUGCAAUUUUUUUUACCCCCUCGGAGAACGGCCGGAGUAAACUAUCGGAAGAUCGCGCGAAUUUGCGAUGAAUAUGAGAUCGAUGAGAACGGUUAACUCUAUAUAGCUUCUUCUGACUGCUUUUCAACACGUGUUUUAUUCGGUCUGAGAUUCGGAUGAUUGUAACCAAACGACGAAUAGUGUAACAAAUUGAUUCGGCUUAUCGUCUCACAAUUCAUUGCUGGGAAUAUCAGUUUUUGAAUCAUAACUAUUCCUCAUUAAAAAACGUUGGGACGCGAUGACAGCUCCUCCGGUCGCCGAGGAAAUCAGCGAGGAAGACCGACGUGGAAAAGAACUGUUUGUUGGCAGUCGAUUGAAUCCGCAAAAAUUCCGAACGGCGCAAUUUGAACGCGGAUUCGAACGGUGCCAUCGACCGACAUUCGACACUUCUUCGCUUUUCUUCGUCACCGAGAAUUGUGUCCACCGAGCAGCUGGAUUCGAAGAAGGGAAACGUUCCGA